rnacentral:rRNA from 1 species
AUGGAGGUGAAGCUCAAGGACCUUGUCCCAUCGACCAACACCGUGAACACGACGUUCAUCGUGGUCGACAAGGUGACCCGUCCAGCCCAUGGAAACGCGCAUGGCAGGGAGGAGACAUGCCUGUCAGUGGUGGCCGACGAGACGGCGGCGGUGCAUUUCCUGCUAUGGGGCACCGAGUGCGACGCCUUGGAGCCUGGGGACAUCCUGCGGCUCACGAGCGGCAUCUUCUCCUACCAUAGGGGCAACAAGCUCUUCCUGCGGGCGGGUAAGCGAGGACGCACGGAGAAGGUGGGUGAGUUCACCAUGACGUUCAUCGAGACACCCAACAUGAGCGAGGCUUCCAGCUCCUUGUUGCUCGUCAAGCUUGGCAAUUAG